UCUUUGCAGGAUAAACUAUGAUGCCAAAUUCCGUCCAAGAGAAGAAGGAAACGAACCUUAGGAGGACUGAGUUAUGAUAACAAUUCCGACCAAGAGGAAGGGGAUGUGGAUUAGAAGAUGGACCAGAAGUGGACUAAGUUAUGGUAAAUGGUAGUAAAAAAUAAUUA
rnacentral:lncRNA from 1 species